rnacentral:lncRNA from 1 species
UUAUUUAGCCUUCUUACUCUGGAUCAUCAUAUUUGGCCUUGCCCCUUGCACUAUCAAGAUUUUGCUCAAGAUGGCGCAGCCAUUAAGGACCACUGUUUGGCAAUGCAUGUGCUGUGCCUUCUUGAGCAAAAGCUUGAAAGAGAUCGGGUCGAAGACUGGAAGACAUGCAUAAACCCUCAAUACUGAGAGAUCUAACUCCAGCAAGACCAAGAUCUUUUUUCUUUUGUGGCUUUUACAGAGGUUUUAGAGGGUGGUAUUCAUGGGUAAUCUUUUAUUUUUCAUUGUCCAUUGAGAAGGGAUUGUGUUAGACGUAGGCUCCCUUGAUCGAAUUUAACUGGAACCAUUUUAGAGUUGAUCAGGAAUUAGGAUACCCUUAAUUUUUUCACAGCAGUGUUUGUGGUUUUGUGGGCCUCAGCACUUCAUUUGGUUGUUCAUAUCACUUUCUUUGAAGAAAUGUAAAUCACUAGUUAUUCUUGGUUCAUACAUACUCAAGCUUACAUGGGCAUAUGAUGCCUACCCUUAUUUUCACAACCUAGAGGUCAAUAGCCCCUUUGAGAAGUCUUUCUUUUUGGAACUUCAGUUGAGAACAUUUUAGGAUAUGUUUCUUGUGGUGUGGUGUAGGUUGGUGUGGUUGGGUGGCUAUCCAUGAACCAUGCUAUCAUUUCUUCAAUUAGUUCAAUUUUGACAUUAGAUUCAUGUACAAGGAGAAUGAUCAAGGAGGGUUGCACCCCACUGUCUCAAGAUCCAAAUCUUCCCAUCUUUCAAUACUGAUAUGCUUAUCGAUCACGCGGUUAGUCUGAUGCAUUCAACCCCUUUAAAUAUUUUGAUCUUAAACCUGAACAAAGCGUCCCGUUUUAAACCCUGACAGACUCUAGCAAUCAGACUGGAAUUCUUAGAGGUACUAACUGGUUGCUGAGGCCAUCCCUAAGGUUGGUGUUGUCAAGGCACAACCACAUCACGGCCUUGAUAGAAGCUAUUUUUUUUUUGGUGAGUCAGUGUGAAGAGGGCCCCUAAAAUGCUCUGAAUCUCUGAAGCUACUAUUAUUGCGUCUUCCAAAAUGCUUUUAUGUCAUUUGGACUCAUAGUAGUCUGUAAAGCCAAGGCACAAGUUUGUGGGUGAGGCUUGAAGCAAGCAACAGGCUCAUGGAAGAUGGAACCAUGUUUCUCAAGCAAAGCAUUAGGUACUGAUGUUCUCCUGGUUUGAAGAGCUAUGUAAGAUGUUACUUUUAUCAUAUGGGGCCAAGUUUUUGGAAUAGAACCAUUUUUUCUCCACAAGCCAUUUAGGAGUGAGAAAUGGAAAUAUAGCCCAACUUAAGUCUGCUCUACUAAUCAAGGAUGACCAGUGUUCAACUACUUGGG